rnacentral:snoRNA from 1 species
AAAACGAUCUAUUCCUGUUGCCUACACAUCGUUGGAAGUGUCCCAUAGAGUAACUUUGUGGUUUUGCUUUACUUACAGGACUAUUUUUUAGACCUGUAAGAGGGAACUACAAGGCAGAG